AGUGUUUUCUCCAUUACCUUCUUAACUUUAACCAAGUCACUUAUUAAGGUUAGGUGGUGAGGGAACUUGGCCUUCUUUUCCUAUAUGACUCCUUUAGAGAAUGUGGGUUGCUGUUAUUUUAUUACUGCUGUGUUGUUACGUCCCUGUGGCUCUCUGUUUCUGCACUAUUGGGACUGGGACUGGCCAUCCACAGGGCGCUCUGAAUGGAGUAGCUCCACUUUGUUUGUUUGUUCAUUUGUUCGUUUGUUUGUUUGUUUGUUUUUGGUAGAUACCAACAUUUUUUGAGCUCUGCUCAGAUAACAUGAAGAAAGCAUGUUCAGAGUGCUUCACAGCUGUGUCCCACACUUCCCCCUGUGGUCUGCAGAACCCAGCUCUCAACUGUGUUCAUCAAACUCCUCAGUGAUCCCCAUCGAUAGGUGUGCCAGGCCGCCUUCCAGUCAUUCUGCCCAAGCCAGGCUGCUCUGUACACUCUGGAGGAUGGCACCCCGAGCAUCAGGCCACUGAGCCAAGAAGUGGAGUCUAACUUUGCCUCUGGCUUACCCAGGCCCAGCAGCUGUAGUGCCGCCUUAGCCGAGUGAGCUCUAGCCAGGAUGCUUGGCACCGCCAGCCCCCGUCACCUCAAGCAUCCACCUAGAAUCCAGCAACGAUCUCAUCUCCAGCUUUAGUAAUAGUGACCUUCUGGGCAAGAUGGAAGAUUAGAGCUUUAAUUAUGUAAAGAAGCAAAAAGUAAUUGCAAUAACGAUUUGGAAACAUGACUGCCGGGUUAUAAAUAAUGAAGCUACCACGUCUCCUCAGUUCAGAUAAAAUAUUCAUUCAGGGUGGUGAUUAAAUAACCUGUAAAGAAAAUUGUCUCUUUCUCCUUGAUUAAUGAAGUUCUUCAGAGAAUUUACACAGGAAAAAAGGUGAAGUCUUCCAGAUGUGCGUUUGUGACACAGGACAUUCUGAUUAUACCAAGGCCUGUCUCUGUGUGCUGUCUUGACCCUCAGUUCCUUUCUAGCAUGGUGGUUGAUCUUGUGUUUGUCAUGCCUACCCUCUGAGGAUGGCAGGUACAUACGACCAAUGUGAGGUGGGUCUUACACAUCCCUUUGCCAUCAGGGCUGCAUAGGAGGGUGAGGUCGGACAGUGUGGGCAGUUGACACCUUGGAGUCCAGAUUGUCUACACACACACACACACACACACACACACAGUGCUUGUGCAGACACAGUCCUGGGGACCAGCACACAGUCAGCUCUUCCCCAUUCUUAAGCUUUUGUUCCAAAGUCUGCCCCCUGCUGGAACACUCAUAAAUAUGCAGCGGAGGCUGGCCGAGCUUCCUGGGGUGGUUUUCAGUGCGGUCCGCUUUCUGCCAGGGGGCAGAUUGGGGCCGGCUAAAGCUAUGGGUUUGCAGUCUUCUGACAGGAUGCAGGUGCUCAUUCGGGAAAGAGUGGGGCUGAGGUGCAGGUGCUGCUCACGUCCCUUCCUGCGAGCGCCAUGGUAGUGAGAGCUUGCUUCUUCCCUCUCCCCUGGCUUCAGAGCACCUGUGCACACAGAGCCACAUGUACUUCCGGAAGGAGCUUCAGCUGAGAGCAGCCAUCUGCACAGCAGCUCUUCCACAGACACAACAGGAAACCAUCCAGGGAACCCUUCCUAAGCCAGGGCUGAAGUGAUGGGAAGUUCUUCAGGCGGCAGGUCCUUCCCAAAGCUCCUCAUAUCAGCCGCUGCCUCAGCAACAGUUACCCUGAAACAGAGCAGACACUACCGAGGGAGGGAGGGAGGGAGGGCGGGCGUGUGUGCUCAGUACUUGAUUGUAUGGGCUCACUCCUCUGCCUUAUAGAGCUAAGAUGUGGAGGUGCUUAGGGAGCCUGGGCCACUAGAAGGAAGCCACGUUGGGCCUGAGGCUGCAUGUGACAGUUAUGUGGCCAGGAGCAAGAUCCAGAAAGUCCUUCAGAAUUUGCAGGAACAUCUGCUGCAUGACCCAGACAUUCAUGGUGAGGGCAGGACGUCUGUGUGUUGUGCAUGGCACAGGCCUGCUUCCUUGCCCAUGUGCUGCUGUGUGCCUGUGUGGUGAGGUACACAUACGCAGAGUUUGGUAUCUCUAGGCAGCACCUGCUUCCGAUGUCUGGCUUCCUUGUUGCGGGCAACGUGUGCACAGCCUGGAGGGACCCCAGGCAGGACAGAGGACAGUGCUGGGCACAUCGGUGCUGGUGGAAGGUUUGUUAGCUCCAGAGACAGUGACAUCAUUUCCCAAGUUGUGUAUCCUUUCUGGCCACAAACAUCUCAGGCGGCCUUCCUUUGGAACCCAUAAGCUCAGGUCUUCACUAAUUCCUAUGGUUUCUUUCCUAAGCAGAUAGGUGUUUUUCAUUUCAUGAUUAAUGCUCCCACCUACCAAGUGUAGGUGGGGUCUAGGAGCUGGUCUCCUAAUCCCAUUGUUGUGCAACCCCAGUUAGUCCUCAGGGCUCUGCAGUGCUGUCCUUGGGUUUGUGCCACGUGAGAGAGAUUAGAGAAACAACACUUGCUGCUGUUGCUGGGCAAAGGCUUGCCUUGCUCUGAGGAGAGGAAAUGUGAAGACCCAGUUCGCCCCAUGAUUAGUCUUUGUCUGCCAGUCUCUGAGUGAAGGAACCCGUGAUUGCCGAAGGGAUGAACAAGUGGUCCACUUGUACAGGCUGCAGGCAGAGGCUGCGGUGGGUUGCACAGACAACAGCUUGUCCCAGUCACAGCCGAUCAGGGCUGGCCAGCAGUGACCCUUGGAGUCUGGUGGAGGGGCUUGUGUAGGCAGCUCUGCCUGGGUGAGGUGAGGCCUGAGAGACGAGUGUCCAGAAGAGGCACCGGGCAGGAAGCUGGUCAUUUCUGGGGGUAGAGAAAAUAUCAGGGGAUCCUCACCCUGCAGGUCCUGUUCCUGGGAGGCCGCUAUUUGCACUGCUCUGCACAUAUUUACAUAGCUAAUUUCUCACUAAGGAAGGACUGUUAGCUUUUCUCAGAUCUCAGAGGGGUCGCUAACCCUCAGAGAUUCAGAAACAAAUGACACAUUUCACAUUCUGGCUGUUGCAAAGGGCCUGGUGUGCUGUACUUGGGAGGUAGACUUAUCCCAGCACAGUGGGGAGCCAGCUACAAGCUCUGAGCAUUGGAGAGGAUAUUUGUAUUGUAGGAACAGCAUGCAAGGGUGGGGGUAGGGCAUGUGUCAUGUACCCUGGAGAUGGAAAUGUACAGUUUUAAUUUGUGUAGAAAAAUAGGUGAAGUAGGCCCUUUGAGCCCCCACACUAGUGUGUAAAUAAACUUACGUGUAUGCGCAUGCAUACGUGUUAAUAGGAAGGGGAGCAGCCAUCCUGCUUUAUAAAUGGGGCGUACAACACCCCUUGUCAAGGAGGAUGGCAUCCCAGACUCCUCUGCUAGCUAACCUCAUGCUUCCUUUUGUGAGAGACAGUGGCGUUGAACUGAUUUUCCUUGGUAGAUGUGUUUUGAAUCCAGAUGUGCUGCUCUGUGUGACUGAUGAUCAGUUGGAAUGGUCACAUUAGUGGCCAGCAUCACAGCUGGCAGGGGGCUCCUGCUGAGACUCCAGAGUCUGGCACCAAGCACUCUUCAGUUAUGGAGGAGGUACAUAUGCCUCUAGGAAGAGCCCCAUUCCCAGGCCAGAGCUUGGUGCAUAUCCCUCUGAAAUGAACCCAGGAUCCAUCCGCAUUAAGUUAUUAAAAUCUUUUUAAAAAUGUUUUGAGACAGGCUGUUACAUAGCCCAAGCUAGUCUGAGCCUUGCUUUGUAAUAGAGGGUGAUUUCAAACUUGUGAUUUUUUUUUACUGCCACCUUCCAAGUGCUGGGAAACACAUAAGUGCAGCUUAUGGGGUACAGGGGAUGGAAAACGGGGUUUUGUGGCUAUCAGGCAGUCUCCCGACUGAAUGACAUGCCCAGCCUCAUGCUGUCAUUAGAACGCUUGCUGCUUCUCCUCCUGCUGCUCAGGCUCAGGUAUUACCUGCCUGCCUGCCUGCCUGCCUGCCGCAUUGAGAGCGAGCAGCACAACCCUGCUCUGCUGGUGAACCCAAGAGCACGCAGACACACAGUCUGAAGGAAGAGCCUGUGUCAGAUCCCAGCCCAGCCUCUGACAAUCACAUCCUCCCGUCAGCUUCAUCAUCUCAGAAUGAGCUCUCCGCGGCCAGGAUAUUACAGAGCACAGUAAGUACUUGCCCUAUCCCUCAGCCACCGAGGAUGUGACAGAAAUCACAAAGCUGCACUUGCUUUUAUUAAUACAUCCCCGCAGAGAAGAUAAAUGGCAAAUUUCAUUUCAUUCUUAAGGUCAUGUUUUGGAUAACUAGACAACCAAUCAAUCAGGUGAUUGAUCACCCUGAAUCCCUUCCAUUGGAACAGGGUGGGCACCAGAAACAAUGCCCCCGGGGGGGGGGGGGGAUGACAGGCAGUGCUCCUGGGGGAUUAACGGUGUAAAUGUCCUAGGCCAUCGCUGGCAGUCACUUACAUCUCUAAUAACAGAAGAGGGUGAGUUCCAAGUUGGUGGAAGCCGCGGAAAGUGAUGAGUGUGGCUGGCCUCUUGGUUCACAGGCAUCUUUUAAUACCCAGCUGCUUAGUGCCCUCCUUCCCAGAGGGGAGACUUGGAUAAGCCAGUGUCACCCACUUUACAUUCUGCAGUCUGGAGUCUGCCCUUUGUGAACCCAGAAGCGACUGGACUUCCUUCUUGCUUGAGUCUCUAGAAGCUUCCUCAGCCUCGUGGCACUCACUGGCCUUUACCAUGCCUUUCCAGUGCACCAAUGAGGCGGUGCCUGCUUCCUGCUGUGAAGUGGGAUGAGCACACCUUGCGAGUCCAUGGUCUCCAGGACCCAGUGCACAUCCUCUGCUGGCGUGGCAGGUCGCUGCUCCCUUGCUGCCACGUCUUCUUCAUGUACCAAGGCCUGUCCCAACAGAGGCCAAAGGGGUUUGUCUUUUCUGAAAACUCACCUCUGCCCCUUCUUCUGUAGCCACACUAGAGGCUGCUCCGUGGGCCAUACAAAGGUGACUCUGGCCAUAAAGAGCAGAAAGUACAAGCCUACCUGUGGGCUGGCUUCCCCAGCUUUUCUGUGUAAGCGUGGCCCUUUGCAAGGCAGACUUGGCCCUGGGAUGUGAGGUGCAGCAUCCUGGAUGGGGUGGAUGGAGAUGCUGUUCUCCUCUGGUGUCAGUUUGUGACAUGUCCCAUCAACUCUGCAAGAUCCAGCUGAGCCUUCAAUUUGAACCAGUGACCGUCUGGAGACAGAACAGGGGCAAGAACAGACUGUGCUGGGAGAGAGUGAACCUAAAGUUCAGAUUUGUUCCUUGAAGCAAAAGUAAAGGACAAACCCCCAUAGCGAGCGCCGAGCCUGUACCUCUCCUUACAGCCAGUUCAUGAGCAGCCACUGGGAGCCAAGUGGGUUUCUUCCACCAGUAUUAACUAUAUAUCUAGUUAAGUACGUUGAUGACAUUUUCUUUCUGAAAAUCAUUAUGAAGUAGUGUUCAAAGUCAGCGCAGCUCAGCAGUAAAACCUCACUCGAAUGCUUGAAGACAAUUGGUUUUGCUUUUUUUGGUACAAACAUUUUGUAAGCUUCUUUUGUUGGGCUAUGUUUAUAUUCCUCUACCUCACAGAUUGGCCCCUUGUGCCAUACAAAGCCCCUUAAAUACUUUAAGUCAUUAUCACACAUUGGCCUUCCAUAGCCAAGUAUACACAGGUGAUGUGUUUAUACUGAGGGUCGCCUCAAGAUCUCCUGAUGAUGCCAAGGGCAGGCUUGAGCCCAGCCUCCUAGGCUGCUAGAGCGGAUGGUCCCCACGCUGACCCCUGUGCAUGGACUCUGCUCUCCAGACUCUCCUCUCUGGCAAGGCGUCGCUGGCUUUGGGGCAGCUGACUGCAGGUUACGGUCCCUCAGCCUCUGCUCCACUAGUUCAUUUCAUGACCCACCGAGAGCCCAGACUGUGGACACUGUCUUACCAAGCGCUGUGCGCAUAGCCUUCCUGGGCCUCCGCUGCCAGCACUAGCCCUGCCUGAAGGACACUUUGUGAAACGUUGGCUUCAGAUGUUCGGGAACUGGCAGUGAUUCGCGGGGAUCAGCUGACAGCAGCCGACCUGGUGCCUAUCUUCAGUGGCUUCUUGAAGGAUCUGGUCAAAGACAAGAGGAGAGUGCACCUCUGCCAGCUGCCGAGGUUGGUGGUGACUGACAGCAGCCCGAACUAGGGGUUUCCAUAUGGACUAGCAGAGUUACAGCUAGUCAUCUCACAAAUAAUUGUCUUCCUGAAGAAAUCCAUCAGGCUUUUGCAGCUACGUAGGAUAUGAUUUGGCCGGUGCCGGGGGCAAACUGGAAGAUUUUCUCUUUGCUGUGAGCUUUAAUCAUUAUCCUUAAUUUGAGAGGUUGAAGUUUAGUCAUUAUGUCAUGUUCGCAGCACACUCCUGCAAAAAGAACUGAGAAAAACAAGCCUGUGCCCGGCGCGGCGACCCUGCGCCCCCUGGCGGCGGGUGCUGGGCGAGCCCCCGGCGUCCCGGGCCCUAUCUCCCAUCGCUUGGCUUAUUGCAGUGGCCGGUUGCGAUAACGGCUGCGCCCGGCGCGAUAUUGGCCUCAUUUUCCCCCCGCAGACGGCGGGAGCGAUAUGAAGCCGUUCGCCGCGGCCCGCUUCCUCCCCGCCCUUUUUCAUUUCCUCUGCCCGCGUGCAAAUCACACCACUCUCUCUCACCCGAGCCGAGCAGGGCCGCAGCAAGCGAGACAGAAAGAAUGAGGGGGAAACACCUAGCGAAAAACCGAAGGGAAAAAAAAGAGCGAGGGAAAAGACCUAGCGAGAAAAAGAGAGGGGGUUAAAAGACCUGCCGAGAAAGGGCGAGAGGGAAAGACCUAGCGAAAACCCGAGGGGAAAAAAGAAUGAGGGAAAAGACCUAGCGAGGAAAAGCGACGGGUAGAUGUAGCGAAAAACCGAGGGGGGAAAAGAGCGAGGAAAAAGAUCUAGCGAGGAACGGCGAGGAGGAAAGACCUAGGGAGAAAGAGCGAGGGGAAAAAAAAAACCUAACGAGGAGGAGCGAGAGGAAAAGACCUGCCGAGAAAGAGCGAGGAAAGAAAACCUAGCGAGCAGGAGCGAAGGAAAAAGACCUGCGGGAAAAGAUCAAAGCGGGAAAAAUUAGCGAGCAGGAGCGAGGGAAAAAGACCUGCCGAGAAAGAUCGAGGGAGAAAAACAAAAAAAACAAAAAACAGCGAGCAGAAGCGAGGAGGAAAAACCUGCCGAGAAAGAUCGAGAGGAAAAAAACAAAACAACACAAACCUAGCGAGCAGGAGCGAGGAGGAAAAACCUGCGGAGAAGGAGCGAGGGGAAAAGGGCGGCCGAGUCAGACGGCUAAGUGGGGAAAGCGCGCGAGGAAGUGGUGUGAAAAAAGGAUAAAGAUUGAGAAAGAGCGGGCGAAAAAGCUAGGGGAAAGCGGUCUAGAAAGAAGAACCACGGGGCAAGAGCGAUGUUGAAAAUGAAGGAAGGAGUGAGAAGAAAAAAAAAAAAAAACGGAGGAGAAAGAACAAGGGAGAAACGGCGAGAAAAAGAGCGCGGGCGCCGCCAUCCGCCGCUCGGCUCCUCGCUCCGGCUCGCCAAGGCGACCGGGCAACUGCUGCAGCCCGUAGCUGCUUUUAAGUGGUCUGGUGUAGGGCAGACUUUGUGUGUGUUUAAACCAUAACCGGACCUGGGAGCCUCAAACCCUGAACGCACGAACCCCUAUUUUACAAAGCGCUUGGGUGCACAGUACACGGCGGCUUCGGCACGCCCGCUGCUCCCGCUACCGCUGCGCCCGCGCGCGGCCCACUUGGAAAGGAGCAAGAAUCCAUUAAAUGUGGUAGGGGUCCCCCUGCUUGUUCUUAUAGGCAACACAGCUGCUCCUGAUCUUGGAUCUGUAGACUUCAGCGACGUUAGCGGUUGCCUGAAACACGUUGCCCUGAAGUUGUGCACAAAGUUUUUCGAGUGCGCUGCAUUUCAUUCAAUCUAGUAAGGAGCCGCUGGCCUUGCCCGUAGCACAUUCUUGUAAAUAGCUCUCUUUCUGUUUCCGUCUUAACUCCAUUAUUUUUUUUUCUGGGUUCUAUUUGUCAUUUUCUCUAUAAG
rnacentral:lncRNA from 1 species